rnacentral:rRNA from 1 species
AGAGUUUGAUCCUGGCUCAGGACGAACGCUGGCGGCGUGCUUAACACAUGCAAGUCGAACGCUGAAGGCUCAGUUUUCUGGGUUGGAUGAGUGGCGAACGGGUGAGUAACACGUGAGUAACCUGCCCUCUUCUUUGGGAUAACGCCCGGAAACGGGUGCUAAUACUGGAUAUUCACUUGCCUUCGCAUGGGGGUGGGUGGAAAGGUUUUUUCUGGUGGGGGAUGGGCUCGCGGCCUAUCAGCUUGUUGGUGGGGUGAUGGCCUACCAAGGCUUUGACGGGUAGCCGGCCUGAGAGGGUGACCGGUCACAUUGGGACUGAGAUACGGCCCAGACUCCUACGGGAGGCAGCAGUGGGGAAUAUUGCACAAUGGGCGAAAGCCUGAUGCAGCAACGCCGCGUGAACGAUGAAGGUCUUCGGAUCGUAAAGUUCUGUUGCAGGGGAAGAUAAUGACGGUACCCUGUGAGGAAGCCCCGGCUAACUACGUGCCAGCAGCCGCGGUAAUACGUAGGGGGCUAGCGUUAUCCGGAUUUACUGGGCGUAAAGGGUGCGUAGGUGGUCCUUCAAGUCGGUGGUUAAAGGCUACGGCUCAACCGUAGUAAGCCGCCGAAACUGGAGGACUUGAGUGCAGGAGAGGAAAGUGGAAUUCCCAGUGUAGCGGUGAAAUGCGUAGAUAUUGGGAGGAACACCAGUAGCGAAGGCGGCUUUCUGGACUGCAACUGACACUGAGGCACGAAAGCGUGGGUAGCAAACAGGAUUAGAUACCCUGGUAGUCCACGCUGUAAACGAUGAGUACUAGGUGUCGGGGGUUACCCCCCUCGGUGCCGCAGCUAACGCAUUAAGUACUCCGCCUGGGGAGUACGCACGCAAGUGUGAAACUCAAAGGAAUUGACGGGGACCCGCACAAGCAGCGGAGCAUGUGGUUUAAUUCGAAGCAACGCGAAGAACCUUACCAGGACUUGACAUCCUCUUGACAGAUCCUUAAUCGGAUCCUUCUUCGGACAAGAGAGACAGGUGGUGCAUGGUUGUCGUCAGCU